UAUUGGCCAGUAAAAUAGGUAACGAAUGACAUUUCUGGACGCAUUUAUAUAGUGGCAAUAAGUAUACUGAUGUUAUGCACAGUGAUUCAUUGUGUCUGGAUCUUAUUUGCAUCAUCCUGCGAUGUUUAUCGGUCACAAGCAGCACCACGCGACACCACAAGAGGGCAAUAUAUACAUGAUACAGUUGUGCACGUUGCCCCUAAAAUCAGUCCAGGUGAUCUUUCACUAAUUACGUUGUUAUGCAUUAAAAGUGAACUGAAUAUGUAAAUAUAUCACAUGAUUUCAAUCACUCAUAAUCACUGAGAACAUAAAUGUUCUGAAAUGAAAGAUGUGUAUAGCCAACAUUCAAACUUUUGUACAGUUUGACAAGUUGACUUCCUCCACACUGAAAGAAAGAGGACACAUGCUUCAAUUAUUGCUUAUGGUUUCACUGAAGUGUUUUAGACAGUAAACACAGAUCAAUACAGGGAGACAAAUGCAAACUUCAGAUCUUGUGGUUUCGGGUGAAA